UCUUAGAUCGCACUUUGUUCGAAUGAGGCUACGAUUUCACGUUUAUCAGUAGCAUCCUUCAGAUUUAGGUAUUUAAUGUCAUCAGAAAGUAGGCGGGGAGGAGGAGACGGUGUCGGCUUUGGAAAUAGCUGGAGGGGAGACACUGAAACUCAAAGCGGCGGAGAACCACCUUGGCAAGAAGCAGCCCAGAUCAGAAGGCGAGGGCGCCAAGCUGCUGCCUAUAUCCUGGCUGUACCGAGAACGCUGGACGAUCUAAAUUUGGGAAUUCGCAAGGUAUCUAGAAUUAGUUUUGAAAUUGGGAAAUUAAAAUGGAAUGAAGUACGACGCACAUUACCACUUUAAAACUUUUAGAAGAUGGACAAGAAGGAAGCUAAACAUGGCCCCUUUUUCCUCGCUCACUGCACAGGUACAUUCAGUAAUCGGCGCCAACUGAAUUCUGGACAUAAAUUUAUGCGUCACAUUUCCAUCACGUGAUUAAACGCUGGAAUCAUUUUUUUCUCCGAGGAUGGGCCAAGUACGCUCAACGAAACUGACGCUUCUCAAACGGGACAGAAUGUACUUUAGAAACCAUUUUACAGGCAGUUGGUGAAUAUUAAAACAUUGGACUAUUAACUGGAAAACUUGGGAUACAAAAUUAGUUUACAACGUUUUAUUCUUGAACAGGAAAACUCUUCACUUUUUGUGUGCGGCCUAGACAGCAUUUUGACGGUAGAGCUUCGCCGAGACUAUCCGAACCUUACGGCGGGUUUGUUGAUGGGUCUCCGGACGGUCGUUCUACCCUUGAUAAUCAAUUUGAACUUGAUGAUUUUGUGAAUAUCAGCGGUCAGAGACAUGAUUAUGAAGCUAUGGAGAAAGAUUCUCUCAUUGGACCUGAGAUGAAAACGCUAACUUUGUGUUGUGACCAUGGAUACAUGACGAUGCUAUCAUUGA